UGGGGAAUAUUGGACAAUGGGCGAAAGCCUGAUCCAGCCAUGCCGCGUGUGUGAAGACGGUCUUCGGAUUGUAAAGCACUUUAAGUUGGGAGGAAGGGCAGUAAGCGAAUACCUUGCUGUUUUGACGUUACCGACAGAAUAAGCACCGGCUAACUCUGUGCCAGCAGCCGCGGUAAUACAGAGGGUGCAAGCGUUAAUCGGAAUUACUGGGCGUAAAGCGCGCGUAGGUGGUUCGUUAAGUUGAAUGUGAAAGCCCCGGGUUCAACCUGGGAACUGCAUCCAAAACUGGCGAGCUAGAGUAGGGCAGAGGGUGGUGGAAUUUCCUGUGUAGCGGUGAAAUGCGUAGAUAUAGGAAGGAACACCAGUGGCGAAGGCGACCACCUGGGCUCAUACUGACACUGAGGUGGGAAAGCGUGGGGAGCAAACAGG
rnacentral:rRNA from 1 species